UCCACAUAGGAUGAAAUAUUCCUAGCCAAUCAUUUGUCCAUGUCAUCAAAAAUUCUUAGGCCAUGAAUCUGUGUUUUCAUUUGGGUUGUGUUUACAUUUAUUAAACUACUCGAGUCCAACCCAUCUCGCCAUUUCUGAAGCGUGACUCUUCCCCGACUAUUCCUCUUCGUCAUUACUGAUCAAUUUCUCAGCACCAAACACUUCGCCGUUACAGUUAUCCUUCUUCAUUAGUAUAUU
rnacentral:lncRNA from 1 species